rnacentral:rRNA from 1 species
UAAGGAAUAUUGGUCAAUGGACGCAAGUCUGAACCAGCCAUGCCGCGUGAAGGAUGAAGGUCCUCUGGAUUGUAAACUUCUUUUAUAUGGGACGAAACACUUUCUUUCUAGAGAGCUUGACGGUACCAUAGGAAUAAGCACCGGCUAACUCCGUGCCAGCAGCCGCGGUAAUACGGAGGGUGCAAGCGUUAUCCGGAUUCACUGGGUUUAAAGGGUGCGUAGGCGGGCAGGUAAGUCAGUGGUGAAAUCUCAGAGCUUAACUCUGAAACUGCCGUUGAUACUAUCUGUCUUGAAUAUUGUGGAGGUAAGCGGAAUAUGUCAUGUAGCGGUGAAAUGCUUAGAUAUGACAUAGAACACCUAUUGCGAAGGCAGCUUACUACGCAAUCAUUGACGCUGAGGCACGAAAGCGUGAGGAUCAAACA